rnacentral:rRNA from 1 species
UUUUCUAAGAGUCGAGUUGCUUGGGAUUGCAGCUCAAAGCGGGUGGUAAAUUCCAUCUAAAGCUAAACACGGGUGGGAGACCGAUAGCGAACAAGUACCGUGAGGGAAAGAUGCAAAGAACUUUGAAAAGAGAGUUAAAGAGUGCCUGAAAUUGCUGAAAGGGAAGCGAAGGAAACCAGUGUCUGGCAGUCUUGCUUCUCCUCCGCCCCUCGGGGCUUUGGUUUGCGCUUCUGCCGUGGCCAGGGCCGGGUAGCGUUGCGGGAGUCUGCGCCUUGGAAGGUAGCAUCUCUUCGGANUGUGAAUACCUCGGCGUGUCGUCGCGACGCUGGCCGGUUCUGACGAAAUGGUUUUCUUUACCCCGUCUUGAAACACGGACCAAGGAGUCUAACAUGCCCGCGAGUACAGGGGUGUUCAAACCCCCGUGCGCAGUGAAAGUGAAUGCAGGUGGGAAGCCGCAAGGUGGCACCAUCGACCGACCAUGUCUCUUCGGGGGCGAGGUUUGAGUGUGAGCGUGCAUGUUGGGACCCG